rnacentral:rRNA from 1 species
CCUACGGGUGACAGCAGUGGGGAAUAUUGCACAAUGGGGGAAACCCUGAUGCAGCGACGCCGCGUGAGUGAAGACGUAUCUCUGUACGUAAAGCUCUAUCAGCAGGGAAGAAAAUCACGGUACCUGACUAAGAAGCCCCGGCUAACUACGUGCCAGCAGCCGCGGCCAUACGUCGGGGGCACGCGUUAUCCGGAUUUACUGGGUGUAAAGGGAGCGUAGAUGGCAGCGCAAGUCUGGAGUGAAAUGCCGGGGGCCAACCCCGGAACUGCUGUGGAAACUGGCAAACUGGAGUGUGUGAGAGGAUAGUGGAAUUCGAGGUGUAGGAGUGAAAUCCGUAGAUAUCUGGAGGAACAUCAGUGGCGAAGGCGACUAACUGGAACAUAACUGACGCUGAGGAGCGAAAGCGUGGGUAGCGAACAGGAUUAGAUACCCCGGUAGUC